UGGAAGUGGUCUCUUCUCCUCUCACAGAAAAGGAGCAGGGAGUGAGCCUCUCAGAUAAUGAUAAUGUUUGCUGUCAAUAUCUGCAAAUGUCUAAUAAUAACAAUAAAAACAUUUGCUGUAAAUGUCCGUAAUUGAUUCAGCUUCUAAGAGCUUUAUUGGCGUGACCGAUGAAUGACUGCAUCUGUAAAUGUUUUACUAGCUGUUCUUGCUUCGCAAACACCAGACCUCAUGGGUCAAGCCAAUAACGCUCUUUGAAAUUGAAUUUGACUGAUGCAGAACCACAGUUAAGCACGCUGUCCACUCAGAAAGCCUAGUUGCUCAGAAUUCUCAGAAUUGAUCAGGACACCCAGCGUUUUAACUCCCUCACCUCAUCCAAGCCUAGCUGCUAAGAUGCCCUGAGGAUUCAAGAGCCUUUCUUCUGGAGAGCUGUCUAGAGCAGAUCUGUGAUCAAGCUAAGUGUUGCUAAGUGACGAUUUAAGAAAAGAGAAUGAAUGAAUGAUGGCCGCAAGUUACAGCAGGCUGCAAGUUGAACAGAAGAACUUUUCUUUGAUAUCAUCAGUCCUUCUCCCCCAGCACGUCCACAGUCGAGUUCCAGGCAGGAGGGAGAGAAAGUACCCAGCCUGAGAAGAGGUCUCGGGGGCACGCUGUCCACACUUCGGGACUCGGGACACUCUGCCAGCUCUGCGGCCCUGCCAGCGAGGGCACCAGACUCUGCCUGCUCCCCUGACAGAGCCCUCGCUGGUCGAGGUGUUAGUGAACCGAUACUGCUUAAAGCUCGACACGAAGACAGUGAUGGCAGAAAUAAAAAGAAUUCCUUGUGUUAAUGUAGUGCUCCUAUUAAUAGGAUCCCAAGGGGCUUUGUAGUAAGAAGAAGAAA
rnacentral:lncRNA from 1 species